GCCAGACUGGCAUAGUGGUUUGAGCAUUGGACUAGGACUCUGGAGACCAGGGUUAGAAUCCCAGCUUGGCCA
rnacentral:tRNA from 1 species